rfam:Octopus bimaculoides Scaffold38520_contig_65, whole genome shotgun sequence.
GUAUAAAUUUUCACAUGGCAAUACAUAUACUAAAAUUGGAAUGAUACAAAAAAGAUUAGCAUGGCCCCUGCGCCAGAAUGACAUGCAAAUUGAUGAAGCGUUCCAUAUUUUU